UACGUAGGGGGCAAGCGUUGUCCGGAAUCAUUGGGCGUAAAGAGCGUGUAGGCGGCCCGGUAAGUCCGCUGUGAAAGUCCAGGGCUCAACCCCUGGGAUGCCGGUGGAUACUGUCGGGCUCGAGUCCGGAAGAGGAGUGUGGAAUUCCUGGUGUAGCGGUGAAAUGCGCAGAUAUCAGGAGGAACACCAAUGGCGAAGGCAGCACUCUGGGACGUGACUGACGCUGAGACGCGAAAGCGUGGGGAGCGAACAGG
rnacentral:rRNA from 1 species